GAGUUUGAUCCUGGCUCAGAUUGAACGCUGGCGGCAGGCCUAACACAUGCAAGUCGAGCGGAUGACGGGAGCUUGCUCCUUGAUUCAGCGGCGGACGGGUGAGUAAUGCCUGGGAAUCUGCCUGGUAGUGGGGGACAACGUUUCGAAAGGAACGCUAAUACCGCAUACGUCCUACGGGAGAAAGCAGGGGACCUUCGGGCCUUGCGCUAUCAGAUGAGCCUAGGUCGGAUUAGCUAGUUGGUGGGGUAAUGGCUCACCAAGGCGACGAUCCGUAACUGGUCUGAGAGGAUGAUCAGUCACACUGGAACUGAGACACGGUCCAGACUCCUACGGUAGGCAGCAGUGGGGAAUAUUGUACAAUGGGCGAAAGCCUGAUCCAGCCAUGCCGCGUGUGUGAAGAAGGUCUUCGGAUUGUAAAGCACCUUAAGUUGGGAGGAAGGGCAGUAAGUUAAUACCUUGCUGUUUUGACGUUUACCGACAGAAUAAGCACCGGCUAACUCUGUGCCAGCAGCCG
rnacentral:rRNA from 1 species